GCCUGAGAGUGGCAGCAAAGUCCUGGGGGGCCCUUGCAACUUCUAUUGGCACAGCUGGCUUAGUUGCUCAGACCCUACCUGCCUUGGUUCAGCAGCGGGUCAAUGCUGUCAGGAAACUUCAGGCAGCAUAUGCACAAGUAGAAGCUCAAGUCUAUAAAGGUCUUUACGGUCUUGAAAAAAAUGUGCUUCCUUUUAUCAACCUCUGUUUGAUAAAAGAUCUGAGAUUAUCAGUGUAAUGUAUGAGCCCGUAGAAAGUGAAUGUCAGUGGGAAGUAGGUGGUCAGGAAGGAAGGAGCUUGGGAGGAAAUGGAAAGAGCAUGAAAACAAAGGACAAAUAGAUGGAAUACCUCGCUUUAGGUUGACAGCUUUUAAAAAUGUAAGGAUUUUUGGUAGGAUGAUCCCAGAAAAUGAUGAACUUGUACUAGAGCACUUGAAAGAUGUGAAAAUAAAUCUUUCAGGGGUUGAGAAACCAAUGAGCUUCACCACAAAAUUUAAGUUAUAGAAAUAUUUUUCAGUGAAGUGAAGUUCUGACAAAAACAUGUCAAAUAUUAUCAGACCCAGAUGAUUCCGAUCUCUUCUCUCAAGGGCCAGGAACAAUCAGCAGCACAGGGUGUGAGAUCUGUUGGAAAGAGGGGAAAAAUAUUAUGGUGAAAAAUAUCAAGAAGCAAAAAUGUGAGGGUCCUGGAAGUGUUGUACUUACCAGUAGGAACAUUCUCAGCUAUUCUUUUUCCCCUACAUAUUUCUAUUCCCCAGGUUCUGCUGAGCAUAGAGUAUGGGAUACGGCUACUGAGGAUAAACUGGAAUACCUUUUCCAAGAACGUCUCCCAAUAUCUGAAUUAUUCUUCUCUAAAGAAGCGGCUGAAUAUAAGUAUGAAAAUUCUGAUGAGGAGGCUCAAGAAG
rnacentral:lncRNA from 1 species